rnacentral:rRNA from 1 species
AAACUGAAGAGUUUGAUCCUGGCUCAGAUUGAACGCUGGCGGCAUGCCUUACACAUGCAAGUCGAACGGCAGCACGGAGCUUGCUCUGGUGGCGAGUGGCGAACGGGUGAGUAAUAUAUCGGAACGUACCCUAGAGUGGGGGAUAACGUAGCGAAAGUUACGCUAAUACCGCAUACGAUCUAAGGAUGAAAGUGGGGGAUCGCAAGACCUCAUGCUCGUGGAGCGGCCGAUAUCUGAUUAGCUAGUUGGUAGGGUAAAAGCCUACCAAGGCAUCGAUCAGUAGCUGGUCUGAGAGGACGACCAGCCACACUGGAACUGAGACACGGUCCAGACUCCUACGGGAGGCAGCAGUGGGGAAUUUUGGACAAUGGGCGAAAGCCUGAUCCAGCAAUGCCGCGUGAGUGAAGAAGGCCUUCGGGUUGUAAAGCUCUUUUGUCAGGGAAGAAACGGUGAGAGCUAAUAUCUUUUGCUAAUGACGGUACCUGAAGAAUAAGCACCGGCUAACUACGUGCCAGCAGCCGCGGUAAUACGUAGGGUGCAAGCGUUAAUCGGAAUUACUGGGCGUAAAGCGUGCGCAGGCGGUUUUGUAAGUCUGAUGUGAAAUCCCCGGGCUCAACCUGGGAAUUGCAUUGGAGACUGCAAGGCUAGAAUCUGGCAGAGGGGGGUAGAAUUCCACGUGUAGCAGUGAAAUGCGUAGAUAUGUGGAGGAACACCGAUGGCGAAGGCAGCCCCCUGGGUCAAGAUUGACGCUCAUGCACGAAAGCGUGGGGAGCAAACAGGAUUAGAUACCCUGGUAGUCCACGCCCUAAACGAUGUCUACUAGUUGUCGGGUCUUAAUUGACUUGGUAACGCAGCUAACGCGUGAAGUAGACCGCCUGGGGAGUACGGUCGCAAGAUUAAAACUCAAAGGAAUUGACGGGGACCCGCACAAGCGGUGGAUGAUGUGGAUUAAUUCGAUGCAACGCGAAAAACCUUACCUACCCUUGACAUGGCUGGAAUCC